rnacentral:rRNA from 1 species
AUUGAACGCUGGCGGCAGGCCUAACACAUGCAAGUCGAGCGGAUGAAGCGUGCUUGCUCCUGGUUUCCGCGGCGGACGGGUGAGUAUUGCCUAGGAAUCUGCCUGGUUGUGGGGGAUAACGUCCGGAAACGGGCGCUACUACUGCCUACGUCCUGAGGCGACUGCGGGGGAUCUUCGGACAUCACGCUAUCGGUUGAGCCUAGGUCGGAUUGGAUAGUUGGGUGGGUAAUGGGCUACCAUGGCGACGAUCCGUCACUGGUCGGAGAGGAUGAUCAGUCACACUGGAACUGGGACACGGUCAAGACUCCUGCGAGACGCAGCAGUGGGGAAUAUUGGACAACAGGCGAAAGCCUGGUCCAGCCAGGCCGCGUGUGUGAAGAAGGUCUUCGGAGUGUAAAGCACUUUAAGUUGGGAGGAAGGGCAGUAAGUUAAGACCUUGCUGGUUUGACGUUACCAACAGAAGAAGCACCGGCUAACUACGUG